rnacentral:rRNA from 1 species
GCGGCCUAUCAGCUUGUUGGUGAGGUAAUGGCUCACCAAGGCGACGACGGGUAGCCGGCCUGAGAGGGCGACCGGCCACACUGGGACUGAGACACGGCCCAGACUCCUACGGGAGGCAGCAGUGGGGAAUCUUGCGCAAUGGGCGAAAGCCUGACCCAGCGACGCCGCGUGCGGGAUGAAGGCCUUCGGGUUGUAAACCGCUUUCAGUAGGGAAGAAGCGAAAGUGACGGUACCUAAAGAAGAAGCACCGGCUAACUAUGUGCCAGCAGCCGCGGUAAUACAUAGGGUGCAAGCGUUGUCCGGAAUUAUUGGGCGUAAAGAGCUCGUAGGUCGUUUGUCGCGUCGAUUGUGAAAAUCUGAGGCUCAACCUCAGACCUGCAGUCGAUACGGGCAAACUAGAGUGUGGUAGGGGAGACUGGAAUUCCU